AGUGAACGCUGGCGGUAGGCCUAACACAUGCAAGUCGAACGGCAGCACAGUAAGAGCUUGCUCUUACGGGUGGCGAGUGGCGGACGGGUGAGGAAUACAUCGGAAUCUACUUUUUCGUGGGGGAUAACGUAGGGAAACUUACGCUAAUACCGCAUACGACCUACGGGUGAAAGCAGUGGAUCUUCGGACCUUGCGCGAUUGAAUGAGCCGAUGUCGGAUUAGCUAGUUGGCGGGGUAAAGGCCCACCAAGGCGACGAUCCGUAGCUGGUCUGAGAGGAUGAGCAGCCACACUGGAACUGAGACACGGUCCAGACUCCUACGGGAGGCAGCAGUGGGGAAUAUUGGACAAUGGGCGCAAGCCUGAUCCAGCCAUACCGCGUGGGUGAAGAAGGCCUUCGGGUUGUAAAGCCCUUUUGUUGGGAAAGAAAAGCAGCAGGUUAAUACCCCGCUGUUCUGACGGUACCCAAAGAAUAAGCACCGGCUAACUUCGU
rnacentral:rRNA from 1 species